AACGAACGCUGGCGGCAUGCCUAACACAUGCAAGUCGAACGAGACCUUCGGGUCUAGUGGCGCACGGGUGCGUAACGCGCGGGAAUCUGCCCUUUGCUUCGGAAUAACAGUUAGAAAUGACUGCUAAUACCGGAUGAUGUCUUCGGACCAAAGAUUUAUCGGCAAAGGAUGAGCCCGCGUAGGAUUAGGUAGUUGGUGGGGUAAAGGCCUACCAAGCCGACGAUCCUUAGCUGGUCUGAGAGGAUGAUCA
rnacentral:rRNA from 1 species